GGAAAAGUGCCAACGUGGUCGUCGGUUUUCCGCCGGGAGAGGACACCUUGGACAACCUGAACGCGCACUAUGCACCCUAUCUAGGUGCUAUCCACAAUGAAUUCCUACCAGACGAUUUGGAAGUGAUGAAGACCAGGAAACAGCGACUCAACAUUUCCCACGUUCACUUUGACCCGUCCAACAUUGACGUAGUGGCAUCCGGAGACGGGCUGGUGAUAGUGCCGGCUGGAGCUGUUUUCGCCUACUACCGAGAUGGCGACCUUACGGCGAUCAACCUGGGCCGCCUUGGGCAGAUGAUCGGCACACGUUUUAUCUAGAGGUUCCGGCUGCCCAGAGAGGAGCUCAAUCCCGAGUGCCUCCCGCCGGCUGAUUCAGAGACAGACAACGUGUUCGAGACUCUGCUCACCCAUCAGUGCACUCGAAGAGUAUUCAGUGUCAGCGUGAAACCGAAUAUGAGCACCGCCUUGUGGCUACCCAUGUAUCAGCACAUGACUCCUGCCAGACAGUUGUUUGUUGCUGCCU